AGAGUUUGAUCCUGGCUCAGGACGAACGCUGGCGGCGUGCUUAACACAUGCAAGUCGAGCGGUAAGGCCCUUUCGGGGGUACACGAGCGGCGAACGGGUGAGUAACACGUGGGUGACCUGCCUUUAGCUCUGGGAUAAGCCUGGGAAACUGGGUCUAAUACCGGAUAUGACCUCAUGGUGCAUGUUGUGGGGUGGAAAGCCUUGUGCGGCUAGGGAUGGGCCCGCGGCCUAUCAGCUUGUUGGUGGGGUGAUGGCCUACCAAGGCGACGACGGGUAGCCGGCCUGAGAGGGCGACCGGCCACACUGGGACUGAGACACGGCCCAGACUCCUACGGGAGGCAGCAGUGGGGAAUAUUGGGCAAUGGGCGCAAGCCUGACCCAGCCAUGCCGCGUGAGUGAUGAAGGCCUUCGGGUCGUAAAGCUCUGUGGGAAGGGACGAAAAAAACAGACCUAAUACGUCUGGGCUUGACGGUACCUUCUUAGCAAGCACCGGCUAACUCCGUGCCAGCAGCCGCGGUAAU
rnacentral:rRNA from 1 species